rnacentral:misc_RNA from 1 species
AAUGAAAUGCUCUUCAUAAUCAUAUAUGAUGAACAUGGUGGUUACUUUGAUCAUGUUCCAACUCCUGUAACAGGGGUCCCUAGUCCUGAUGAUAUUGUUGGUCCUGCUCCAUAUUUCUUCAAGUUUGAUCGCCUCGGUGUCAGGGUUCCAGCCUUUCUAAUAUCUCCUUGGAUUGAACCUGGAACAGUACUACACGAACCUUCAGGACCAGAACCUACAUCACAGUAUGAACAUUCCUCCAUCGCAGCAACAGUUAAAAAACUUUUCAAUCUAAAAGAGUUUCUGACCAAGCGGGAUGCAUGGGCCGGCACUUUUGAGAGUGUUUUGACUAGAACUAGCCCAAGAACAGAUUGUCCAGUUACAUUGCCAGAACCUGUGAGACUGCGCGAAUUUAACGCGAAUGAAGAGGCAAAUCUUAGUGAAUUCCAAGAAGAACUAGUACAAAUGGCAGCAGUAUUGAACGGAGAUCAUAAGAAUGACAUUUAUCCUCAAAGACUUGUGGAGGGCAUGACAGUUUCACAAGCUGCAAAGUAUGUAGAGAAUGCCUACAAGAAAUUCUGUGAAGAAUGUGAGAAAGCCAGGGAAAGUGGAGUAGAUGAAUCCGAGGUCAUUGUUUUACCCAAGCUACCUACCAACACAACCUCCAAGUCUUUCAUUGAGAAGUUGUUUUCUUGCUUGAUCUGUGAUAAUUGACACUUCAAUUAUUUCAUUGAAUAUUUUCCAAAUCGAGUAUUUUCCCUGGCUUUCUCACAUUCUUCACAG